GUGUGUAUAGAAUAGAAUGUCUCCCAUACACUGUGUGUGUAUAGAAUAGAAUGUCUCCCAUACACUGUGUGUGUGUAUAGAAUGUCUCCCAUACACUGUGUGUGUGUAUAUAAUAGAAUGUCUCCCAUACACUGUGUGUGUGUAUAUAAGAAUGUCUCCCAUACACUGUGUGUGUGUAUAAUAUAAUGUCUCCCAUACACUGUGUGUGUGUGUGUAUAAUAUAAUGUCUCCCAUACACUGUGUGUGUGUGUGUAUAUAAUAGAAUGUCUCCCAUGCACUGUGUGUGUAUAUAAUAGAAUGUCUCCCAUACACUGUGUGUGUAUAUAAUAGAAUGUCUCCCAUACACGGUGUGUGUGUAUAUAAUAGAAUGUCUCCCAUACACUGUGUGUGUAUAUAAUAGAAUGUCUCCCAUACACUGUGUGUGUGUAUAUAAUAGAAUGUCUCCCAUACACUGUGUGUGUAUAGAAUAGAAUGUCUCCCAUACACUGUGUGUGUAUAGAAUAGAAUGUCUCCCAUACACUGUGUGUGUAUAGAAUAGAAUGUCUCCCAUACACUGUGUGUGUAUAGAAUAGAAUGUCUCCCAUACACUGUGUGUGUAUAGAAUAGAAUGUCUCCCAUACACUGUGUGUGUAUAGAAUAGAAUGUCUCCCAUACACUGUGUGUGUAUAGAAUAGAAUGUCUCCCAUACACUGUGUGUGUAUAGAAUAGAAUGUCUCCCAUACACUGUGUGUGUAUAGAAUAGAAUGUCUCCCAUACACUGUGUGUGUAUAGAAUAGAAUGUCUCCCAUACACUGUGUGUGUGUAGAAUAGAAUGUCUCCCAUACACUGUGUGUGUGUAGAAUAGAAUGUCUCCCUUACUACUGUGUGUGUGUAUAGAGAAUAAAUGUCUCCCAUACACUGUGUGUGUGUAUGAAAUAGAAUGGUCUCCCUUACACUGUGUGUGUGUAUAGAAUAGAAUGUCUCCCUUUUACUUUAUUGUGUAGUAGUAUAAAAUAGAAUGUCCUCCCAUACACUGUGUGGUAGUGUGCCAGAAUAAAGGGAAUAUCUCCCAUACCACUUUCUGUGUGUGUAUAGAAUAGAAUGUCUCCCAUACACUGUGUGUGUGUAUAGAAUGUCUCCCAUACACUGUGUGUGUGUAUAUAAUAGAAUGUCUCCCAUACACUGUGUGUGUGUAUAUAAGAAUGUCUCCCAUACACUGUGUGUGUGUAUAAUAUAAUGUCUCCCAUACACUGUGUGUGUGUGUGUAUAAUAUAAUGUCUCCCAUACACUGUGUGUGUGUGUGUAUAUAAUAGAAUGUCUCCCAUGCACUGUGUGUGUAUAUAAUAGAAUGUCUCCCAUACACUGUGUGUGUAUAUAAUAGAAUGUCUCCCAUACACGGAGUGUGUGUAUAUAAUAGAAUGUCUCCCAUACACUGUGUGUGUAUAGAAUAGAAUGUCUCCCAUACACUGUGUGUGUAUAGAAUAGAAUGUCUCCCAUACACGGAGUGUGUGUAUAUAAUAGAAUGUCUCCCAUACACUGUGUGUAUAUAAUAGAAUGUUUCCCAUACACUAUGUGUGUAUAUAAUAGAAUGUCUCCCAUACACUGUGUGUGUGUAUAUAUAAUAGAAUGUCUCCCAUACACUGUGUGUGUGUGUAUAUAAUAGAAUGUCUCCCAUACACUGUGUGUGUGUGUAUAUAAUAGAAUGUCUCCCAUACACUGUGUGUAUAAAAUAGAAUGUCUCCCAUACACUGUGUGUGU